GCGUGGAGGCUACGAAUCGUCAUUUUUGGAGUCAAACUUCAAUGGCAGCAAAACUUCAAACUGCAUGAGUUUUCGGCGAUUUCAUCGAAAAAUUGAUGAUGACGUGGGUUAGAAACUUUUUCGUGAUGGGUUUUGGGUUUUUUCUCAAUGUUUGUUACUACUGAUUCUUCUUUUGUUCUUCUACUUCUAUGUUGUUGGAAAGGAAGGGGCCAAUUAAAUCUAAUCUUUUUUGAUAAUUUUGAGGAGUUUUGAGAAUUUUUCGAUGACACCGACAAAUGAAGGAUAUCAAUGGAGGAGGUGAGCGGCAAGCGAAGUAUAAGAAGACUCAAAAAUCGAUGAGGAAUUGAAAACGAAAGUAGUCGAAGUUGUAGAAGACAAUGAACACGAUUCUAAAAAGAGUGUUUUGCAGAG
rnacentral:lncRNA from 1 species